rnacentral:rRNA from 1 species
AAAUGACUCUCGGCAACGGAUAUCUCGGCUCUUGCAUCGAUGAAGAACGUAGCGAAAUGCGAUACUUGGUGUGAAUUGCAGAAUCCCGUGAACCAUCGAGUCUUUGAACGCAAGUUGCGCCCAAAGCCAUUAGGCCGAGGGCACGCCUGCCUGGGUGUCGCACAUCGUUGCCCCAACGCCAGUGCCUCGUGCGAGGCGUUGAGCGGGGUGAAUGCUGGCUUCCCGUGAGCGUUGGCUCGCGGUUGGUUGAAAAUCGAGUCUGCGGUGGAGCGCACCACGAUGGAGGGUGGUUGAGUAAAAAGCUCGAGACCAGUCGUGCGUGUCUCUCUACCUGCUCCGGUACUCUGUGACCCAUGAGCGUCAGUUGAUCGCCCAUAACGGGACCUCAGGUCAGGCGGGGCUA